ensembl:miRNA microRNA 19a
UUUUGCAUAGUUGCAUUACAAGUAAAAAUGAGUUGUGCAAAUCUAUGCAAAACUG